rnacentral:sRNA from 1 species
UAGAUCUCCCACCCUUUGUAUACUAUACCUUUGUUGCCUUGGCAGGCCCGUCUCCGGACCGCUGGCUUCGGCUGGCCCGCGCCUGUCAGAGGACUCCAAACUCUUUUGUUAAUAUUGUCUGAGUACUAUUUUAAUAGUUAAAACUUUCAACAACGGAUCUCUUGGUUCUGGCAUCGAUGAAGAACGCAGCGAAAUGCGAUAAGUAAUGUGAAUUGCAGAAUUCAGUGAAUCAUCGAAUCUUUGAACGCACAUUGCGCCCUCUGGUAUUCCGGGGGGCAUGCCUGUUCGAGCGUCAUUACAACCCUCAAGCUCAGCUUGGUAUUGGGCCUCGCCGUCUGGCGGGCCUUAAAAUCAGUGGCGGUGCCGUCUGGCUCCAAGCGUAGUAAUUUUUCUCUCGCUUUCGGAGGCCGGCGUGUGCUUGCCAACAACCCCCAAUUUUUUCAGGUUGACCUCGGAUCAGGUAGGGAUACCCGCUGAACUUAAGCAUAUCAAUAAGCGGAGGAAAAGAAACCAACAGGGAUUGCCUCAGUAACGGCGAGUGAAGCGGCAACAGCUCAAAUUUGAAAUCUGGCCGCAAGGUCCGAGUUGUAAUUUGUAGAGGAUGUUUCGGGUGUGGUCCAGUCUAAGUUCCUUGGAACAGGACGUCAUAGAGGGUGAGAAUCCCGUAUGUGACUGGGUGCCUAAUCCCAUGUGAAACUCCUUCAACGAGUCGAGUUGUUUGGGAAUGCAGCUCAAAAUGGGUGGUAAAUUUCAUCUAAAGCUAAAUAUUGGCCAGAGACCGAUAGCGCACAAGUAGAGUGAUCGAAAGAUGAAAAGCACUUUGGAAAGAGAGUUAAACAGUACGUGAAAUUGUUGAAAGGGAAGCGCUUGCAACCAGACUUGCACGCAGCUGAUCAUCCGGUGUUCUCACCGGUGCACUCGGUUGCGUUCAGGCCAGCAUCGGUUUUGGUGGCGGGAUAAAGGCCCUAGGAAUGUGGCUCCUCUCGGGGAGUGUUAUAGCCUAGGGUGCAAUGCCGCCUA